rnacentral:rRNA from 1 species
GAUGAACGCUGGCGGCGUGCCUAAUACAUGCAAGUCGAGCGAACAGACGAGGAGCUUGCUCCUCUGACGUUAGCGGCGGACGGGUGAGUAACACGUGGAUAACCUACCUAUAAGACUGGGAUAACUUCGGGAAACCGGAGCUAAUACCGGAUAAUAUAUUGAACCGCAUGGUUCAAUAGUGAAAGACGGUUUUGCUGUCACUUAUAGAUGGAUCCGCGCCGCAUUAGCUAGUUGGUAAGGUAACGGCUUACCAAGGCAACGAUGCGUAGCCGACCUGAGAGGGUGAUCGGCCACACUGGAACUGAGACACGGUCCAGACUCCUACGGGAGGCAGCAGCAGGGAAUCUUCCGCAAUGGGCGAAAGCUUGACGGAGCAACGCCGCGUGAGUGAUGAAGGUCUUCGGAUCGUAAAACUCUGUUAUUAGGGAAGAAUAAAUGUGUAAGUAACUAUGCACGUCUUGACGGUACCUAAUCAGAAAGCCACGGCUAACUACGU